rnacentral:rRNA from 1 species
AACGAACGCUGGCGGCAUGCCUAACACAUGCAAGUCGAACGAGACCUUCGGGUCUAGUGGCGCACGGGUGCGUAACGCGUGGGAACCUGCCCUUAGGUUCGGAAUAACUCCCCGAAAGGGGUGCUAAUACCGGAUAAUGUCUUCGGACCAAAGAUUUAUCGCCUUUGGAUGGGCCCGCGUUGGAUUAGCUAGUUGGUAGGGUAAAAGCCUACCAAGGCGACGAUCCAUAGCUGGUCUGAGAGGAUGAUCAGCCACACUGGGACUGAGACACGGCCCAGACUCCUCCGGGAGGCAGCAGUGGGGAAUAUUGGAAAAGGGGCGAAAGCCUGAACCAGCAAUGCCGCGGGAGGAAAGAAGGCCUUAGGGUUGUAAAGCUCUUUUACCCGGGAUGAUAAUGACAGUCCCGGGAGAAAAAGCCCCGGCUAACCCCGU